GACGAACGCUGGCGGCGUGCUUAACACAUGCAAGUCGAACGGAAAGGCCCUGCUUUUGUGGGGUGCUCGAGUGGCGAACGGGUGAGUAACACGUGAGUAACCUGCCCUUGACUUUGGGAUAACUUCAGGAAACUGGGGCUAAUACCGGAUAGGAGCUCCUGCUGCAUGGUGGGGGUUGGAAAGUUUCGGCGGUUGGGGAUGGACUCGCGGCUUAUCAGCUUGUUGGUGGGGUAGUGGCUUACCAAGGCUUUGACGGGUAGCCGGCCUGAGAGGGUGACCGGCCAAAUGGGGAAUGAGAUACGGCCCAGACCCCUACGGGGGGCAGCAGGGGGGAAAAUUGCAAAAUGGGGGGAAGCCUGAUGCAGCAACGCCGCGGGGGGGAUGACGGCCUUCGGGUUGUAAACCGCUUUCGCCUGUGACGAAGCGUGAGGGACGGUAAGUGGUAAAGAAGCACCGGCUAACUACGU
rnacentral:rRNA from 1 species